AUUGAACGCUGGCGGCAGGCCUAACACAUGCAAGUCGGGCGAGCGGCGGACGGGUGAGUAAUGGAUGGGGAUCUGCCUGAUGGAGGGGGAUAACUGCUGGAAACGGUCGCUAAUACCGCAUACCGUCAGAUGAACCCAUAUGGCAGUAGCUUGAAGGUGAGGUAACGGUGCACCUAGGCGACGCUCCCUAGCUGGACUGAGAGGAUGAACAGCAACACUGGUACUGAGAUGCGGCCCCAACUCCGACGGGAGGCAGCAGUGGGGAAUAUUGCAGAAUGGGCGCAAGGCUAAUGUAGCCAUGCCGCGUGUAUGAAGAAGGCCUUAGGGUUGUAAAGUACUUUCAGCGGGGAAGCGUUACCCGCAGAAGAAGCACCGGCUAACUCCGUGCCAGCAGCCGCGGUAAUAC
rnacentral:rRNA from 1 species